rnacentral:rRNA from 1 species
GAUCCUGGCUCAGAUUGAACGCUGGCGGCAGGCCUAACACAUGCAAGUCGAACGGUAGCACAGAGGAGCUUGCUCCUUGGGUGACGAGUGGCGGACGGGUGAGUAAUGUCUGGGAAACUGCCYGAUGGAGGGGGAUAACUACUGGAAACGGUAGCUAAUACCGCAUAACGUCGCAAGACCAAAGAGGGGGACCUUCGGGCCUCUUGCCAUCGGAUGUGCCCAGAUGGGAUUAGCUAGUAGGUGGGGUAACGGCUCACCUAGGCGACGAUCCCUAGCUGGUCUGAGAGGAUGACCAGCCACACUGGAACUGAGACACGGUCCAGACUCCUACGGGAGGCAGCAGUGGGGAAUAUUGCACAAUGGGCGCAAGCCUGAUGCAGCCAUGCCGCGUGUAUGAAGAAGGCCUUCGGGUUGUAAAGUACUUUCAGCGAGGAGGAAGGYGUUGKGUUAAUAACCGCAGCRA